rnacentral:rRNA from 1 species
CGGAGGGGAAACGCCCGGUUACAUUCCGAACCCGGAAGCUAAGCCCUCCAGCGCCGAUGGUACUGCACUCGUGAGGGUGUGGGAGAGUAGGACGCCGCCGGAC